rnacentral:sRNA from 1 species
GAAAAGUUUUCCCCACCUAGCUAGAAGCUAGCUCGUUUGUCACUAGAUUUCGACGGCCUUCCCGAAGAUUUCUUUUCUCCACAAUGUAUCACGCAAAGACAACCACCGAUUUUAACAUGUUCAGUCAACAGUGUUGCUUCAUGGACGAGGCCAAGUAUGGAGCCGGUUAGUUUUUCAUAAUUGGACGAAUAUUUUAUUUUUACAAAUAAUUGUUCAGCUAUCGGCUCCACUAGCCGUCGGGUUUUCGGCUUGGCCUCCGUCGCCGCCACUUCCGCCGUUGGCCCACUCACCGCUCCAGGAUGCAGUCCACGCCGACCACAACCAUCGUCGGAUCCUCAACUCUUGCAGAAACCUGCCGGAUUGCCUGACGACUACAGUUCCUCAGCUUCACCAGAUCAAUUCUGCCGAGCAAUCUCCACUACAGUUCACGCAUCAACCAAAUUGCGAUUUAAUUGUGGUUCUCGACGAGCAAACGACCUACACGACUACAAUGACACGACGUUCCCUACCGAAAGCGGACCGUUAUUUGAGCGGUUAGUUGGCGAAUUUGAGCGAAUUUGAAUCAUAAUUUGAAUAAUAAAAUUUUCAGAGCCCAACAUGAGCACGCCACAAGCUUCCCACGGGAGCUUUGAAUUUGAUGUACCAGAGUACACAUCCUUCGACUAUGCAUUCGAUUUCCCACCGGUUCCAGAAGCCUUCCCACCAGCCGCCAAUAGUUCCUCGGCUGCAUCUCCAGAUGCAGAUUUUCUUGAUCUGGAUUCUCUCAUGAGCUGUGAUAUCACAUCUCUUGACGCCUACAUUCAUGAUGAUUCCAUUGCCUCUCCUUCUAACGCUUCACACAUUUCUCCUCCAGCGUCGGACAUUGAUCCAGUUGACGAGUUCUUUCCACAGCUUGUGCACAAUAAUAAAA